GGAAGUUUGAGAUGUUACACAAUUACCCUGUUUAAAUAGAACAGAAACAUGGGAGGAACUAACGAUGUUUGUUUAUUUAUUGCAUGUGUGUUUAUGGGGGAAACAGCAGCAUGGGAAGGCCUAAAUUUGCUAAGUAGAAAAAAAGUUGAGGGUUGCUUCUGGGAAUUGAAGUAGACGGCGGCAACAGGAAGUCCGAGGGCAUGCUGUGAGGCGAAUUGUCGAGUGCUGAAAUUGCUGCGGGUGGUGGGGGGUCGGAGCCUUCCGCCGAGAUGGGUGUUUUGUUUGAAAAAGGCAAAUACAUAACGGUGAAUGCCGGUUGGAGGCUGAGGACCCAUGUACUGCACCACCUCUUUUCCUGUUUUCAUCACAUACAAGAAAUGAAGAAAAACAGAGUAUGAGUUAUGAUUUUGAGAAAUGUAUUCAGUUUCUGGUUUUUAGUUUCUUAAACUUAGGCCUAUAUAUGAACACCUUUUCAAUAAGAAAAAAUUUGCUGAUCA